AAGUACGGUUUCCGUGCUAGCCUUGGCUAAUAUUUCAGAACUAAAACUGGAAUAUUACAGAGAAGGUUAUUGUGGCCCCUGGUCAGGGAUAACACACAAAUUUGAAGUAUUCCAUUAUCUG
rnacentral:snRNA from 1 species